rnacentral:rRNA from 1 species
AUAUCAAUAAGCGGAGGAAAAGAAACUAACAAGGAUUCCCUUAGUAACGGCGAGUGAAGAGGGAUGAGUCCAUAGCUUAAAUCCAAUCCUAUAUGUAGGAUGGAGUUGUACUAUGAAGUUAUUUAUUCGGUUCAAGCCUGGGUAUAAAUCCUUUGGGAUAGGGUAUCAUAGAGGGUGAGAAUCCCGUCUUUGACCCAGGGCAUUGAAGCAUGUGAUAAAAUUAACAAAGAGUAGAGUUGUUUGGGAUUGCAGCUCGAAUUGGGAGGUAGUUUUCUCCCAAGGCUAAAUAUGGGCGAGAGACCGAUAGCGAACAAGUACCGUGAGGGAAAGAUGAAAAGAACUUUGAAAAGAGAGUUAAACAGUGC